rnacentral:misc_RNA from 1 species
GAUGAAGAACGUAGCGAAAUGCGAUAACUAAUGUGAAUUGCAGAAUUCCGUGAAUCAUCGAGUCUUUGAACGCGCAUUGCGCCCCCUGGUAUUCCGGGGGGCAUGCCUGUCCGAGCGUCAUUGCAACCCUCAAGCACGGCUUGUCGAAUGGGCGGUUCGUCUGCGGCCAUCCGCCGGAGACGCCCCCGAAAUGCAGUGGGGAUGUUCGCUAAAUCGCAGCGUCAGGAAUGGAAAUAAACAAUGCUGACGGCUCGAUGUCGAACGCCCACCUAAGGCGUGCCGCCCCCCCGGGGUGUGCCGCCCAACCUCUCUCGGUUGACCUCGGAUCAGGUAGGGAUACCCGCUGAACUUAAGCAUAUCAAUAAGCGGAGGA